CGUGCACCCUUACCCUCCGCCCGCUCACCUGCGCCGCCGCGAUCCAAUCGGGGGCGCUGUCAUGCGAUUCGAUUGCCUCAUUGCCCUAUUGUUAGAUCUGACACGUUCGUCGCAUUCGAAAGAAUCCAUUUCGCGCGGUGCUAGAUUUGAGAAAUUGGCUAUUAUAGAACUCCAAACAUUGGGUUUAUCUGUAAUAGGAUUCCUAACGUUUGUUUCUCCAAAUAGAACUCCAAACAAUUACAAUCAGCCCUAAUGACAUUUUUUUCAUUUUUAAUCUCUUUUGUCAUCUAAAAAUAUAUGUAUUUUUCGUAUUGACCCUAUUACCCUUCAGCUAUCCUAUGGUAUUCAAUUCCAUCGUUUCAUCUUCGAGAGACGCCGCACGACGCUCCUCCAAACAAUUUCUCAUUGAAAUACAGGUUGGAGGAGAAAGCGCUCAAACUUGGGUUUACUGAUCAGUAGGCUAAAGAUGGCCAUGACACUGCACCUGAUCAACCAAUGACGCUCUUCACCGAGCAAGGCAUACUGAUGAACCACAAGGUCGGCAGCACCUUCGUGAUUCCUCCGGCGAUGCUCUAGAGCUUGAUGACGAUGUCGGCGAUACUGCUCAUGCCGCUGUACGACAAGAUAUUCGUUCCUCUGAUAUGCAUGUUCACCCGGGAGGAGAAGGGGAUUACCGUGCUCCAGCGGCCGGAUCGGCAUCGGCAUGGCCCUCUCAAUCGUGGCCAUGGUUACCGCCUCCAAUGUCGAAUCGAAGCGGCUCCAUUUCGUCAGCGAAGUAGAUGGCGCCACUCAUCAGCUGAGCAUAUUCUGGCUGCUCCCACACUACAUUCUACUGGGAGUAGCUGAUGUGUUCACGGUCGUCGGAAUGCAGGAGUUCUACACGCAGGUCCCCAGCACCAUGAGGACCAUUGGCAUUGCGCUCUACCUCAGCGUCUUUGGCUUCAGAAACUUCCUCGGUGCCUUUUCUGAUCGAGGUCCUCAAGACGACAACGGCGAGGAUGGGAGAGAGACACGGCUGGUUCUCUGAUGAUCCACGGCAGGAACACCUGGACAAGUACUACUGGUUACUGGCUUUUGUUGGCGCCGUCGGCGCCGUCAGCUUUGUGUUCUUCACAUAUCUCGAAGAUGAAACGAUGGAAUUGAGUACCAUACAAUAGCUGAAGGGUAAUAGGGUCAAUACGAAAAAUACAUGUAUUUUUAGAUGACAAAAGAGAUUAAAAAAGAAAAAAAUGUCAUUAGGGCUGAUUAUAAUUGUUUGGAGUCUUAUUUGGGAGAAACAGACGUUACAAGUCCUAUUAUAGAGAAACCCAACGUUUGGAGUCCUAUAAUAGCCAAUUUCUCGCUAGAUUUGCGUGGCAAAGCUUUAAAUGCUCGCUUCAACCAUUUGCGAAGCGCGCAGCCAUUUUGGUUAGCCUGUAUUUUGAUCUGGAGCAAAUACGGAGCUCAUGCAAUUAGAAAUUGCGCCAACGCUCCAGCCUCGGAGAUGAUUCUGGGGUGCAUGUUUAAUUCCCCUAGAUUGCUGUAGAUUGCAAUUCGUUUCAGUCAGAAUGGAACUCCAUGAGCUCUGGUAUUUUCUGGUUGCAUUGUAUGGGUGCCUAAUUUGUGUCUUUGCCUGUUAAGACUUAACAAUGGUGGCAAAUGCUACUAUUAAACUGAAUAUGUUGUCUUUCAUUUGUUGAGCUCUAAA